AUAGAUUUUAAUACUUAACGACACUGUGGGGUGUACAUUUAUUAUAAACACCACUAUUUUAAUGUAAACAUUUAUUUUCAAGUAUAAGUAUUCGUUGUUUUUGUAAUUUAUAAUAGAAUUAGGAAUACUUUGCCAAAAUAAUAUUGUAAUACAAAGCGUGAGUAUUUAAAAUGUUUGGGCAUCAACUACGAUACUCUUGGGCUGGGUAAUAUAUUUAUUAAAUAAAUACGUUUUAAAACGAUUUUUAUAUUUAUCUAUAUUUUCUAACAAUAACCGAAUAAAUAUCCUCGCAAAAUGUAAAUCUGAUACUUGGCGAAAUAACUUAAUUAAUCUGAAUUGUUCAGCAAAUACUAUUGCGGCCAAUAGUCAAUAGUAUAAAUGAGGAUUGAGCUAAAUAAUAGAAUAGUCAGAAAUAAUUUCGGUCUAAUAUUAUACAAUAGUAAUAACUGAUAAACAAUUUUAAACGAUUUCCACAUGACCUCUGUCAAAGCAUUUCUUAAUACUUGCAACAAAUACAUAUGCGUGGAAAUGGUACAUAAAAGCAGAUAAAUAAAGUUGCACUAAGUAUGGCAACAGCGUCAACAAUAAUAAUUUGGGGAUCGAGGAAAGGAACAACAUUUAAAUCGAGCUUAUCCCACACUGGUUCGAUUUAAUAUUGUGUUGUGACGUUUGUCUUUUGACUCUGCACGACACCCCUUAGAGUAAAUCGCCCAAACCCUUCCCUCCUAUUGCUACCUUGUGUGCUUAAAGUUUGUAUCGCAAACUAAUAAUAUCACUGGCACAAUUUACCCGGGUCGAGAUUGUGGUGAGGCAACCCGAAAAGGACUUCCGGACGCGCCGGCAAUUAUUAACACAACACAAUCCAGGGUAUGAUUAACUCGUGUUGUUUCUUACUCAAACCACCAUGGCGUUUAUAACUCUCUCUUUAAACGAUAAGAAUCAAUGUUGAAUAAGGGUUUUAGGAAGACAACGGCGUUUAUUGAAAAACAACUUCAUCAGGAUAUCCGCUAAUAAGACAAGGCUGACGGAUGUUUUUCGUUGUUGGUAUACCUAAGCUUCCGGCGACAUCCCUCAUUAACCCGCUCACAAUUACCAAAGAAAUCAAAUUCAUUAACUCAAGUCUGAACGAAUUUUCAUUGAAAAUCGGUGCUUGACCGAAAUAAAAUAACCGCAAAGAUCAAAAAACAUUUUUCAAUGAAAAUCCCUCGUGAUUAAAGAGUAUCUUAGAUUUGGACGCUCAGCAAAUAUGAAUAACAUGUUACACGUGUAGAUUGACUUCAAACUUUGAGCUUUUCAGUUUACUGAAAAAGUUUAUGAUGAGCGUUAUGAUGACUUGUAUUCUAUUUCGAAGAUAUAUGAAUUCGUAAGAUUCAAACGUUUGAAUUUAUCUAUAAACUGCAUUCAUGAACAUAGUUUGGUAGAUAAUGAGUGUUUUUUUUUUAAGGAUUUUUACCAAUUAUAGCGAAAAAUUUACCGAAAAUAUUGCAGUAAUUUUUGUGGUUGAGAGAAGCGCAUCAAUCAUUUUUCUUGUUAAUCUUACUAGCAAUAGACAUUAAAAGGAAGAAAAAAACUUAAACAGAUUUCUGUUGGUGAAUUUUAAAGAGUAUUUUUUGACUACCGGUAAUGCUAAAUUCUACAUCAUAUCGUUAAUCACGGAACAUCAGAUUAAUUCUGUUAAGGGAUAAAAAUACACGAAAAAAAAAAGACUUACGGUGUAAAGAAUAUAGUCUAUCACCUCAGUGAUACGGGGUAAUUGUGCGAUGACAAGAGAGGCAACAACAGCAAAAAAUAUGCGAAGGGAUGGAAGGUCAUUUGUUUGACAAAAUGUAAACGCUGGCGCACGCGACAAGGUUUCCUCUCUCCUUCUCAUUUUCAGAACGUUGACCGUGUAGUAUAAUUAAUGGUGCUAACUUCUUUUAAAAAAACUGCAAUAAAUAAAAUAAUAAAACCACUGUCGGUACUAAGGAGAGAAAUAAACAAGAGAUAAAAUAACUUAAGACCGUUUUCAGGUGCCUUUAAAAAGCAUACAACAGUCACCUGGACUGGCUUAUUCUAUACAGUACUCUUAAGUGUGAAUGCUCAAGAAUCUUUUUCAAAGUAGUUACAAUGUACUAGUAAUUACUAGUACUUUACAUUUAAGUUAAAAAUAUGUAGUAGACGGCUUUAUAAAGUAUUUGUACGUUUAAUUUAUUUUUAAUAAUGUUAAAAUAUUUUAUUAUAGUAAUUAUAAUCAAAGAUUUAAAUUAUUGAAAUCUUAAU